rnacentral:lncRNA from 1 species
CUGAAAAAACUGUGUUACUUUUGGAGGCUGAAUCAGUGCUAAGAUUCAAGGUUGAGACCUGGUCAAAGAAAUGAAAACAAAAGAUCCAACCCAAAGAGACCGACCAGCCAACCAUCCUCACCCACAGAUACUGACAACUGAAAUACAGUUUGUGAAGCCAGGGAAGUCAGCAAGGCUGGAGUAAAACUUAGAGUGUGAAUGGUGUGAAUAAAAAAUUUCAGAAAGGAAGCAAUUAUGAGGCCAGAAGGCAUUUGGUUUGCAAAAGUGAGACCCACAGGAAGCUUGAAGUGUUAUAGCAAACAGCAAAAGUUAAGGCGAUGGCUGGCAAUUGAAAAUAAGAUGCACAGACUCCAGAGAGGCAAACAUAACAGUCUGCAAGAGUGUGCAAUCAUCAGCAGAGCAUGCACAAUCUGAACAACAGCUCCGAACACACAGGUGGAUUCUCCUCUGGAAAAAUGAAUGACGUUAAUUUUGAAGAUGAAUGAAUCACUAGUCUGAGAGCAAACAGAGUAGUGACUCAUUUAAAGUUGGACUUUGGUGCCUGGGUACUGAUCAGUGUGAGUGAGUGAAAUUUGGCUCAUACUGGCGAGCUUGUCAUUGUGAAGAGAGUACAUGAACUGACUUUGAAGAGCCACGACAUCCUGUAACUCUAACUGUGCUCAGACUGAACAGAAGAUCCAUUCCCUGGUUAGACAGAAAAAAGGGACUAAAACUAAUUUGCAUAUUAAGUUAAAUGUCAGCUCCAAAUUACCAGGAUAACUCUUGAGACACCUAUUCAUCUGUGUAUUUGCUUCUAGGAAAUAUUUUCAUGGAGUAUUUCAAAUGAUUCAAUUUCCAUCCUCAAAACAUACGCCAGAGCUGAAUACCAUCUUGUGAAAACUGUGCCUUCACUUUUGGAGAGCUUGACUCAAGGUGGGCGGGAAAAGAAAGGUAGGCAAGAGAAAGUCACCCUAAAGCUGGACGGCUGCAGGGGCUAUUUCCCACUUCCGCGUUGAUGAUGCCAGAUGACAAGACACUUCAAAGAGGGGCCAGCAUUCAGCGGACCCGUGUUCAAGGCUCAUGCAAGCGAGGCCUCAGCUGGCUGUCCUGGAAAGCGAGGAGCCGGCCCCGAGGUGACAAAUCCCUCCCUGGGGGUCGCCUGCCCUGGGCGCCAACAGAGAUGCUGCGUCGGUGGGAAAAGUGCUCCGUGAAAACCCGAGCGCGGAGGAAGGGGCAGCCUUUACGCGGGGCUCCCCUCUCACCUCUCCUGUCUCAAGAGCCCCCUGGUAUUUUCAGCCUCGACUCUUCCCCCCACCCCGCCACCGCAAUGGGGUUUUGUGUGCCAUGGGCUGGUGCUUCACUUCAUCAGACGACGUCACCCCGCUCCUGCGGGACGCCCCGGAGAGGCAGGCAGUGCUCUGACGCCGAACGUCCCUCCCGGCGCGCUUCUGUGCUGGGGCAGCACUGCGGCAGUGGCCGCAGCUUCGCGGUGACUCGGGAGCUUGCCUGCUUUUUGGUAUCGCUGAGGAGGCCGACGAGGAAAAACAGUGGCUUCUGCCUGUGUCGGUUCCCCUGGGAUGGCCGGGCCCUCCCGGGUUUCAGCAGCUCCCCCUGCCACCUGGGGCAGUGCCGGCUCCCUGCAGUCCCGGUGCGCUGAGCUCCCUGCCUCUGCUGCGCCCGUCGUGGCGGAAAUCUCCUUUCUAUGUCAUCUGAGCAGCAUAAAAGAGUUGAGUUAUUUCUGACAAUGCUGGAAGAAAGGAGUGGAGAGGGUAGAGGGCGAAACUUUGUAGAAAUUUCAGCGUGACUCCGAAUGCAGUGUAAACCUUGGGAGGGAAUAAUUGAAUUAGCACCUUGAUUUGCUCUCGCUCCCGCAGCACGCUGCGAUACCUUUUGCUGCCCUAGCUGCAGUCCGUAGCAUUUCUGUCCCUGUAAUACAUGUCAUACAUCUCCUUAAGAGCUCUGUUCCCUUAGACAGCAAACCACAUUCUGCUUGACUCCCUCAGGAAGGACAAAACAAGCCCCCACCCCGAAACUCUGCUAAUUUCCCGGUUAAAAGGAUUUUUCUUACAUAAGUGAGUAGAACUGUGGCUGCUUUGUUAAAAAAAAAAAAAAGUGUUUUUUUUCUUUUUUUAAGCAGACAAAGAUGUGUAUAAAUCUGUGUGUCUUAUACAUAUAUGUAUAUGUCUUACUGAAAAUAGCAUUUAACAAAUGCCUUCUGCAUCUGCAGAAUUCUCCAACAAUCCUGACACUGUGAUCAAUCUGUAUUCUGGUGAUGUUUGGUGACAGUGAUUGAUUGAUUUUUCCUGCUAAUAGGAUCAACAUUGGGAAUAUAUUAAACUAAAAGGCACACUUCUGACUUUCAGGAAACACCCUGUGUAUUGGGCCUGAUCCAAUUGUAUUGGUUUUGGCAGCAGGAUACAAUGAUUGAUGACAGCCAGGGAGUCGAGGGCUGCUUGGAAGAAGAGUUGGAUUCCCUUAGCGGUCUCUCCAUGUGCAUGACACUGGUUUCCUGCUGGGACAGGGACACGCAUAAGAAGGGACAAUGGAGCAGGGUGGCCCAUCCAGAUAACCUCUUCUAAUGCAUAUGGUGAGAUCUGACAUGCCAGUUCAAGAAGAGAAGGCAAAAAGCUGAUGGGAAAUUAAUUCUCAGGAGUUUG